UUUGAGAGUUCAAGAGUACGUGAAACCGCUUAGAGGCAAACGGGUGGACCCGCAAUACGUCGACCCGGGGGAUUCAACCAGGCCGUUGGGCACGGGACGCGUGGGGGUUUUGCUGAGCUGUAAAGCCAGUGCCUUCGCGUGGGUCUCCGGGCGGACUGGUGCACUUUCCUCGGGUCGAUUGCCACGACCGGCUCUCCGUGCGGCCAAAAGCCUGGCUGGGAAGGUGACCGACGGCCCCAGUGCCGGCGGUGUUAUAGCCCAGCUUGUUCGUUGCGCUCGUCGGAGGGCCGAGGAAGUGUUGCCGCCUCUCAUCACCCUCCGGCCAUCCUUGCUCGUCACGACUGGGGUGGACUGCUUCGUCAGUGCUCUCCCGACCGCGAGCGUAGGAAGGGUUGGUACGGUGCGAGAAGCUUCGGGCCAGUGGCGAAUCGGUCGGUCCUCCACCCGACCCGUCUUGAAACACGGACCAAGGAGUCUAACAA
rnacentral:rRNA from 1 species